rnacentral:ncRNA from 23 species
GUCUUAUCAAGAGUGGUGGAGGUAACAGGACCUGUGAAGCCCGGCAACCUUUUGAGUAAGGUGCCAAAUCCUGCGGCUAUGCCGAAAGAUGAGAA